CCUGAUCAGAGUGCAAUGGAUUCCAGAUCUUCCUCGGGAAGGUGCGUCCGUUCACGUCACCCGGCCGAGGGC
rnacentral:sRNA from 1 species